rnacentral:rRNA from 1 species
AAUGCGCAGAUAUCAGGAGGAACACCGAUGGCGAAGGCAGGUCUCUGGGCAUUUACUGACGCUGAGGAGCGAAAGCAUGGGGAGCGAACAGGAUUAGAUACCCUGGUAGUCCAUGCCGUAAACGUUGGGCACUAGGUGUGGGGGACAUUCCACGUUUUCCGCGCCGUAGCUAACGCAUUAAGUGCCCCGCCUGGGGAGUACGGCCGCAAGGCUAAAACUCAAAGGAAUUGACGGGGGCCCGCACAAGCGGCGGAGCAUGCGGAUUAAUUCGAUGCAACGCGAAGAACCUUACCAAGGCUUGACAUGUUCCAGAUCGCCUCAGAGAUGGGGUUUCCCUUCGGGGCUGGUUCACAGGUGGUGCAUGGUUGUCGUCAGCUCGUGUCGUGAGAUGUUGGGUUAAGUCCCGCAACGAGCGCAACCCUCGUUCCAUGUUGCCAGCGGGUUAUGCCGGGGACUCAUGGGAGACUGCCGGGGUCAACUCGGAGGAAGGUGGGGAUGACGUCAAAUCAUCAUGCCCCUUAUGUCUUGGGCUUCACGCAUGCUACAAUGGCCGGUACAAUGGGUUGCGAUACUGUGAGGUGGAGCUAAUCCCUAAAAGCCGGUCUCAGUUCGGAUUGGGGUCUGCAACUCGACCCCAUGAAGUCGGAGUCGCUAGUAAUCGCAGAUCAGCAACGCUGCGGUGAAUACGUUCCCGGGCCUUGUACACACCGCCCGUCAAGUCACGAAAGUUGGUAACACCCGAAGCCGAUGGCCUAACCACCUUGUGUGGGGGGAGUCGUCGAAAGGUGGGACUGGCGAUG